GUCGAAUUGGAGUGAGAAGAGCCAAAAGGAGGGGAAACGAAACAUUUCUUUUAAUGGCGUUACUCACGACAUUAACCAAUGUAUACAGUCCUCACUGUGACAUCUAGUCACAUGGCGCAAAGAGAGUCUCCUGAUUGGGCGGCCUAAGCAACGGGCCUUCAACUCCUGCUUGAUCUGCAUCAACAUCUUAUGGUGACUGGGCACAUGAUGACUUUGUCCUCCAACAUGACGCUGACGACCAGGAAGACAAAGUAGAGCAGGAACAUGAGGAAGCCCAGAAACUUGCUCAUUUUCCACUUGCAAGCCGCGAUGGAAAUGAUGACGAAGAGGAGCAUGAGGAAGAGGAG